rnacentral:rRNA from 1 species
AUUGAACGCUGGUGGCAGGCCUAACACAUGCAAGUCGAACGAGUGGUGGACGGGUGACCAAUGCAUGGGAAACUGCCUGAUGGAGGGGGACAACUACUGGAAACGGUAGCCAAUACCGCAUACCAUCGGAUGUGCCCAGUUGGGAUUAGCUAGUAGGUGGGGUAAAGGCUCACCUAGGCGACGAUCCCUAGCUGGUCUGAGAGGAUGACCGGCCACACGGGAGCUGAGACACGGUCCAGCGUCCUACUGGAGGCAGCAGUGGGGAAUAUUGCACAGUGGGCGCAAGCCUGAUGCAGCCAUGCCGCGUGUAGGAAGAAGGCCUUCGGGUUGUAAAGUACUUUCAGCGGGGAGGCGUUACCCGCAGAAGAAGCACCGGCUAACUCCGUGCCAGCAGCCGCGGUAAUAC